rnacentral:misc_RNA from 1 species
AACUCUCAACCUCCUUUCCUUUGUGAUCGGCUGGUUGGAUCAUGGGCGUUUGCCGGCCAGGUCGGCUCGCCUGAAAUGCAUUUGCGAUGUUGUGUCCUUGUGAGUUGCAUUUGCGAUGUUGUGUCCUUGUGAGUUGCAUUUGCGAUGUUGUGUCCUUGUGAGUUGGCCCGACUAGGCGUGAUGGUAACGAGGUUCGUCUAGGAUCCCGCUUCGGCGAGGAGCCGCUCCUGUUGGGCGUUUGCCUUCGCAUGAACACUCAUAUCUUUGG